CAGCAGCCGCGGUAAUACGUAGGGUGCGAGCGUUAAUCGGAAUUACUGGGCGUAAAGCGCACGUAGGCGGCUUUGUAAGUUAGGGGUGAAAGCCCGGAGCUCAACUCCGGAAUUGCCUUUAAGACUGCAUCGCUUGAAUCCGGGAGAGGUGAGUGGAAUUCCGAGUGUAGAGGUGAAAUUCGUAGAUAUUCGGAAGAACACCAGUGGCGAAGGCGGCUCACUGGACCGGUAUUGACGCUGAGGUGCGAAAGCGUGGGGAGCA
rnacentral:rRNA from 1 species